rnacentral:lncRNA from 10 species
CGCGGUGCGCGCGAGCGGCCAGCAGAGGGCGCCAGAGAGCCAGGAGCGGCCUGCGGAGGAGCCCGCGCCGGCACCGAUUCCCAGCUCCGCGCCACGCGGACCCACCGAGCUCGCGCUCAGACGCCCCAGCUCCGCCGAGAGGCCGCUCGCGCCGGGUCCUUCCUCUUCCCCAAGUGCAGGCCGAGCCUCCGCAGCCACGGCCAGCCCUUCGGGCAGCUCCAAAGCCACUGGCAAGCCCCGAGGCAGGGAUGGCCGGCCCAGGAGGGAGGAGGACGACGUCCCUCCCUAGGAGAAGAACUGCGGCUGUUGCUGGAGGGGGGAAGCGCACAGCCCGACGACUGCGAGGACGGGGAGGACGCGCUGAGGUCAGGCAGGGAGGAGACCGGCACCCAGACAGGUGGCGACGGCAGAGGACCUCUGUUCAGUCUCCUCUUCUGGAAA